rnacentral:rRNA from 1 species
CCUACGGGUGGCAGCAGUGGGGAAUAUUGCACAAUGGGGGGAACCCUGAUGCAUCGACGCCGCGUGGGUGAGGAAGUACUUCGGUAUGUAAAGCCCUAUCAGCAGGGAAGAAAAUGACGGUACCUGACUAAGAAGCCCCGGCUAACUACGUGCCAGCAGCCGCGGUAAUUCGUAGGGGGCAAGCGUUAUCCGGGUGUACUGGGGUGAAAGGGGACGUAGGAGGAGUGCCAAGUCUGAUGUGGAAGGCCGGGGCUCAACCCCCGGACUGCAUUGGAAACUGGCAGGCUGGAGUGCCGGAGUGGUAAGCGGAAUGCCUAGUGUAGCGGUGAAAUGCGUAGAUAUUACGAGGAACACCGGUGGCGAAGGCAGUUUGCUGGACGGUAACUGACGUUGAGGCUCGAAAGCGUGGGGAGCAAACAGGAUUAGAUACCCGAGUAGUC